AUGGUGUCCCCCGCUCUUCUUCUUCUCUUCCUCCUCCUCCUCCUGCUUCUUCUCUCAGUCCCUUCCCUCCCUCCCCCCCAGAAACGUGUCCCUUUUCAAGUUGCAAAAGCAGCCAGGGCGAAGCGGGCUGUCGGGAGAGGCAUUCAGGAGGGUGACCCUGGGGAGGAGAGGGAGGAGAGGGCGACGGGGGGAAGAAGCAGGAGGAGGAGGAGGAGGAAAGGGAGGAAGAGGAGGCGACCGGCUCGCCGGACACCCUGCCGGGCCAGCCAGCCCCGCACCGUCCGCGGCGGGCUAGCGGCGCGCCCGCCCGGCCGGCCGACACGAAAGAGGCAGCAGCAGCAAGGAAGGAGCCCGGAGCCGCGCGAUGCUGCUGCUGCUGCUGCUGCCGCCGCCGCCGAAGCUGCUCCUGCCGCCGCCGCUGCUGCUGGUGAAGAAGCUGGUCUCUCUGCCGGGGCUGCGGCCGCCUCCGUCGCCGCCACUGCUCGCCGCCGAAGCCGCUGGGGCCCGGCCGGGAGAGCCGCCGCUGGAUCGCGCCCGUUGGCGCGCAGGGAAGCCGGCAAAGGCGCACGGGGAGCCGAGGCGCGGCUGCCGCUCAGGGCGCGCGGGUGUCCGGGGGCCAAGUCCGAGGCAGCGCGUCAGCCAUGCAGCAAAGGCGCUUCGGGAAGCUCCGCCGACCAGCCCGAGGGCGACGCCGCCGAGGAGGACGCGAGAGGAGACUGGACGAGACACUUUGGGGGUCUCUCGCCGCCGACGCCGCCGUUGUUCUGGGCUCCGGCUCCGGCCGCCGCCGCUGCUUUGCCGCCGGGCUCUCUCUCUCUCUUUAGCUGUGUCUCUCUUUCUCCGUGCGCGCCGCUUUCUCUCUUUCUCUCUGCCUCUCUCCCUCGUCAAUUUCGCUGGGGAAGAUACAAAGGAGAAGCCCCAGCAGCGCCCUCGACUUCGCCCAGGCGCGGCAGACCGAGGAUCCCCAGCCAAGUGGCGGAGCGAAAGGCGAACAUGGAGAGAGCAGAAGCGGAGCGAAUGUCAGCCGCGCGCCGAGGGGAGGGGAAAAGCCGAAAGGCGAGCGAGAGAUCCAAAGUAGGUCGAAUAAAUAAAAGCCCCUUCUCCUGCUUCUCCGGCUUGCUCUCCUCCUGGCGCCUUCCUCGCUCGCUCGCUCGCGCGGCAGCUCCUUCUCUCCUCGCCUUCUUUCUUCUUCCGUGCUGCUGA
rnacentral:lncRNA from 1 species